CCUACGGGAGGCUGCAGUGGGGAAUAUUGCACAAUGGGGGAAACCCUGAUGCAGCGACGCCGCGUGAGUGAAGAAGUAAUUCGUUAUGUAAAGCUCUAUCAGCAGGGAAGAAAAUGACGGUACCUGAGUAAGAAGCCCUGGCUAACUACGUGCCAGCAGCCGCGGUCAUACGGAGGGGGCAAGCGUUCUCCGGAUUUACUGGGUGGAAAGGGAACGUAGACGGCAGUGCAAGUCAGGGGUGAAAGGCGGGGGCUCAACCCUCGGACUGCUCGGGAUACUGUACGGCUGGAGUACAGGAGAGGUAAGUGGAAUUCCUGGUGUAGCGGUGAAAUGCGUAGAUAUUAGGAGGAACACCGGUGGCGAAGGCGGCUUACUGGACGGUAACUGACGUUGAGGCUCGAAAGCGUGGGGAGCAAACAGGAUUAGAUACCCCAGUAGUC
rnacentral:rRNA from 1 species